rnacentral:rRNA from 1 species
CUCAGGAUGAACGCUAGCGGCAGGCUUAAUACAUGCAAGUCGUGGGGCAGCUAGGUUUGUAGCAAUACAGAUGCUGGGCGACCGGCGAAACGGGUGCGGAACACGUACAGAACCUUCCUUUGAGCGGGGAAUAGCCCAGAGAAAUUUGGAUUAAUACCCCAUAGUAUAAUGAAGUGGCAUCACUUUAUUAUUAAAGAUUUAUCACUCGAAGAUGGCUGUGCGGCUGAUUAGGUAGUUGGCGGGGUAAAGGCCCACCAAGCCUGCGAUCAGUAACUGGUGUGAGAGCACGACCAGUCACACGGGCACUGAGACACGGGCCCGACUCCUACGGGAGGCAGCAGUAAGGAAUAUUGGUCAAUGGAGGCAACUCUGAACCAGCCAUGCCGCGUGGAGGAUGAAGGUCCUCUGGAUUGUAAACUUCUUUUAUAUGGGACGAAAAAAGGCUUUUCUAAGUCGUCUGACGGUACCAUAUGAAUAAGCACCGGCUAACUCCGUG